UACGUAGGGUGCAAGCGUUAAUCGGAAUUACUGGGCGUAAAGUGUGCGCAGGUGGCCGCGCAUGUCGAGUGUGAAAUCCUCGGGCUUAACUUGGGAAUUGCGCUUGAAACUACGUGGCUAGAGUGUGGCAGAGGGAGGUGGAAUUCCACGUGUAGCGGUGAAAUGCGUAGAGAUGUGGAGGAACACCAAUGGCGAAGGCAGCCUCCUGGGCCAACACUGACACUCAUGCACGAAAGCGUGGGGAGCAAACAGG
rnacentral:rRNA from 1 species